CUAUAAUGGAGAGUUUGAUCCUGGCUCAGGACGAACGCUGGCGGCGUGCCUAAUACAUGCAAGUCGAGCGGAACACUUGGAGCUUGCUCCAAGCGUUUAGCGGCGGACGGGUGAGUAACACGUGGGCAACCUGCCCUGCAGAUCGGGAUAACUCCGGGAAACCGGUGCUAAUACCGAAUAGUUUGUCCUCCCUCCUGGGAGGAUACGGAAA
rnacentral:rRNA from 1 species